AGAUAUUUGACUCUGCACACCUGCGUGACCCCCUGCAAAGUUUUUCUUCGAUUGGUUUUGACGGUGGGACGUCUUACCUUUUCAACGGCUGGUAAAGGUCCUUAAUGAAAGGUGUGUUUUGUGUUCCUGCCAAGGUGCUUUACUCACAAUAGUAGCAAUUGAUCAGAGACAAACCCAUGAUUGCAGAGUUCACUGAUGGCCAGGACGGUUCACUGUGCCUGAGGUGGAAGCAGAAUUUCUGAGGAUUACCACUGUUCCCCUCGUCACAACGUUUUUUGCACAACUUGACCACCACGCUGAUCAGCUCAUCAGAGUGCUGAAGAAGACAGGUGGAUCUAAAGGAAAGAAAAUUAACCUCACCUUUGCCCCGACUGCACCGAAUGAAACCGUUGAAAAGAAGAGGGAGUGCCUCCUCAGGGCACUUUGUAUCUAAAUGGAGAUCCAAGCAGUCUCUUCAAAGAGUAUCUGGAUUCAGAUGGCUGUGCUGCCCAGAGGGACCUUGAACAAGUUGUCUUUGGCAUCUACAGCAUUAAUGCUGAGGGAGGUGAUGCCACCACCACUCCAGUUGAUGUUGGAAUAGUGAUUGAGGGUGUUGAAGUGCUUCACGACUUGGGAGACAUCGCUUCUGCAUGUGCACUCUUAAUGGGUGUCAUAUAUGCAAUGAACCUCAGUUAUCCUCAGGAACUCAAAACGUUCUUUGAGGUGCUUCAGAAAAUCUUCCUCCAGCUGGAUGCUACCAGACUCUCAACCAAGGUACAGAUGCUUAAAAACAAACUGUAUGAGUGAACCAACAUUGAGCGUGUGGCGUUUAACAUGAAGGCCUGAAAACUGACACUUGAAACCAUUUAAUUGAAAAACACUUAAGUUUAUAUACCUUUUUUUUUCUUCUU